rnacentral:rRNA from 1 species
GAUGAACGCUGGCGGCGUGCUUAACACAUGCAAGUCGAACGAAGCACUUCAAUCGAUUUCUUCGGAAUGAAGUUUUAGUGACUGAGUGGCGGACGGGUGAGUAACGCGUGGGUAACCUGCCUCACACAGGGGGAUAACAGUUGGAAACGGCUGCUAAUACCGCAUAAGCGCACAGUACCGCAUGGUACAGUGUGAAAAACUCCGGUGGUGUGAGAUGGACCCGCGUCUGAUUAGCUAGUUGGCAGGGCAACGGCCUACCAAGGCGACGAUCAGUAGCCGACCUGAGAGGGUGACCGGCCACAUUGGGACUGAGACACGGCCCAAACUCCUACGGGAGGCAGCAGUGGGGAAUAUUGCACAAUGGGGGAAACCCUGAUGCAGCGACGCCGCGUGAGCGAAGAAGUAUUUCGGUAUGUAAAGCUCUAUCAGCAGGGAAGAAGAAAUGACGGUACCUGACUAAGAAGC